rnacentral:rRNA from 1 species
AUACGUAGGGUGCAAGCGUUAAUCGGAAUUACUGGGCGUAAAGCGUGCGCAGGCGGUUCGGAAAGAAGGAUGUGAAAUCCCAGGGCUCAACCUUGGAACUGCAUUCUUAACUACCGGACUAGAGUAUGUCAGAGGGGGGUAGAAUUCCGCGUGUAGCAGUGAAAUGCGUAGAUAUGCGGAGGAAUACCGAUGGCGAAGGCAGCCCCCUGGGAUAAUACUGACGCUCAUGCACGAAAGCGUGGGUAGCAAACAGGAUUAGAUACCCUGGUAGUCCACGCCCUAAACGAUGUCAACUAGCUGUUGGGCCCUUCGGGGCUUAGUAGCGUAGCUAACGCGUGAAGUUGACCGCCUGGGGGGUACGGUCGCAAGAUUAAAACUCAAAUGAAUUGACGGGG